rnacentral:rRNA from 1 species
GCUGGCGGCGCGCCUAACACAUGCAAGUCGCACGAGAAAGCGGGAGCAAUCUCGCAAGUACAGUGGCGUACGGGUGAGUAACACGUGGAUCAUCUGCCCUGGAGUGGGGAAUAACGCUGGGAAACCGGCGCUAAUACCGCAUAUUCCCGAGAGGGGAAAGCAGCAAUGCGCUCGAGGAGGAGUCCGCGGCCGAUUAGCUAGUUGGCAGGGUAAAAGCCUACCAAGGCUAUGAUCGGUAGCCGGCCUGAGAGGGCACACGGCCACACUGGCACUGAAACACGGGCCAGACUCCUACGGGAGGCAGCAGUGGGGAAUCUUGCACAAUGGGGGAAACCCUGAUGCAGCGACGCCGCGUGAGCGAUGAAGCCCUUCGGGGUGUAAAGCUCUUUCGGCAGGGAAGAUUAUGACGGUACCUGCAGAAGCAGCUGCGGCUAACUACGUGCCAGCAGCCGCGGUAAUACGUAGGCAGCAAGCGUUGUUCGGAGUUACUGGGCGUAAAGGGUGUGUAGGCGGCCUGUUAAGUUCCGUGUGAAAUCUCCCGGCUCAACCGGGAGGGUGCGCGGAAUACUGACGGGCUA